rnacentral:lncRNA from 1 species
CGUGUACGGGUCGAAAGGUGGGGGGGUUCUCGCUGCUUUCGAAAAAAAGAAGAAGAAAAGUCAAAGGAAAAAAGAGAGAGAGAGGGGAAAAGUGACCGGUCUGCAGUGAGGGAGAGAGAAGACCGGUGAGAGGACGUGCGAAGAGAGAGAGAGGACAGCAGAGGAGAAAAAAAAAAAGGAAAAAACAAAAUCUACUGUUUCUCCUCUUCGGUGUGCCCCUCGCCGACCUUCGAGCAGCAGCGUCGCUGGCGUUCGCCACCGCCGGCCCUGCCUUGCCGGCGAACCCGCGCCAGCUUUCCGCCGCUCCACCUCCGAACCUCUGCCCCGCCGACGCUGAAGCUCCGCCAGUCCGACGAAGCCACUGCCUUGCUGCACCGCGACGCCGCUUCUGUUCUGCCCCCAGCCGAAGCGCACCUCGAUCGCCCAGCGCAAAUCCAGCGAUCCGACGUUCCUUGCUCGCUGGUCACUGCCGUCUCGCCGGUCUCGCCGCGACGCGCAGCCCCGCUGCGCACCACUACCGCUCUACCGAUCUCGCCCGCGACGCUCCUGCUCCUGCUCCGACGCCAGUAGAUCCCGAGCCAGUCGACGCGCCUCCGCCAGAGCCAGACCCACGAAGUCGCCGCACCUCAUCAACCGAGCGACCAGCCGUCACGCGUGCACCAUCGCCCUCACUGACGUCGCCGCGCCGAUCCCCCUCGCCGAGCUCCUGCUGCGUCCCUGCCCAUCACCGCGCCUCACCCGCGACUUGCAAUUCACCCCGCAGCAGUCCACUCGCCACCGUCCUCUUUCCGGCAACCCCGUGCCCGACGCCGCCCGUCACCCCUGACGCCUGCGCCAGUAACCCGCGCUGCUCCGCGACCGCCCGGUGCCCGACGCCCCUGCAGCACCUCCGUCCGCGACCGCCCGGUGUCAAACGCCCCCUCCUCCGUGCGACGAUUCUGCAACCGCUCUGUGCCCGCUGCUGUGGCACCACCGCCCGCGACGCCCCCUCACCGUCGUUGCUUGCCAGCCCUCACCGGAGCUCCGACGCCGGUCAUCCGCCACCCGGCGCCGACUAAUCUGCUGCCCAC